rnacentral:lncRNA from 1 species
AUGGGGGUCUUCCGGCUCCUGCUCGGGGCACUGCUCUGGGAAGUCCCGGCAGUCCAGAACAUCCGGCUGAAGCAGCCCUCGCUGAUCUCGACCUCCGAGGGCAACUCGGAGAUCCUGCCCUGCAGCUUCUCCGCCGAGCCCGAGGAGCCCCCGCUGCGGUUCCUGGGGGUCGUCUGGUGGCGGGGGCCUUCUGGGACCGGACGGCCCAUCUUCGACUCCGAAACCGACUACGUCCACCCGGAUUACCGGGGCCGGGCCUCCGUGAAGCAGGACCUCCGACGGGGGUUCGCUUCUUUAUCCAUCCGCAACCUCCGCAAGAGUGAUGAGAACGUGUUCCUCUGCGGCGUCACUGUCAUGGUGGAGGGCGAAAAGGUCACCUGGUGGAGGCAGGAAGGGACCAAUGUCACUUUUGCAGUCCCGGCGGAGGCCCAGAAUGUCCAGGUGAAGCAGUCCUUGAAGAUCUUGACCUCCGAGGGCAACUCCGCGGUCCUGCACUGUUUCGCCUCCACCCGGAAGGGGGGGCCCCCGCUGCGGGUUCUGGGGUUCUCCUGGUGGAGGGGGUCUCCCGGGACCAAAGAGCUCGUCUUCGACUCCGCAACCAACUUCACCCACCGGGAUUACCGGAACCGGGUCUCCAUGAAGAAGGACCUCAAGGAGGGGUUCAGUUCCUUCGACAUCCAAGGCCUGCGGAAGAGCGACGAGGACACGUUCUUCUGCAGGGUCAGCGUUGUGACCGAGGGCAAAGAGGUCAUCUGUUGGAGCCAGGAAGGGGCCAACAUCACUUUCGCAGAAGGCAUCCCGAGAUUCCUGAUCCAGCAGCCGAAGGCGCUGACGGCCCCCGAGGGAGGCUCGGUCACCAUCUCCUGCCUCUUCUCCCCCCCGCCGGGCCUCGGGCCCCUGAGCAACGUGAGAGUGAUCUGGAGGAGGAACCACUUCCACGGCAAAGUCAUCUUGCGGUCCUUCCCGCCCGCCACCCCCGAUCCGGACUACGAGGGCCGCGUGACCCUGGUGGGGAACCCGGUGGGCGGGAACGCGUCCAUCCGGAUCUCCGGCCUGCGGCCCCGGGACCAGACCACCUACUUCUGUGCCGUCUACGGCCGCCUCGCCCAAGGGCAGGAGGUCCAGCAGCAGAGCUCCCUGGGGACCCCCCUCACCGUGACAGCGAGGUCGAGGGGCCGGCUCAUCAGCCAGCCGAGGUCCCCGCAGGCCCUCGAUCUGCGCAAUGACAGCUGCGUCACGGAGAAGGCCCGGGAACCCGGCCUCUGCCUCAGACCCCUCUUCUCACCCUCGGAUCUGGGCCCGCUCCUCGCUCUCUCCCUGACCCUGAAGAUCGGCACCUGCGUAGCCGUGUUCCUGAGACUCCAGGGAAGGGAGAGGGCCGCCCCCGGGGGGGUCUCCGGCCCCCCGGCCCCCGUGCCAGCCACCAGGCGGGAGCCACGGGCCGCCCGGCCUCCUGGCUCCGACCGGGCCGAGCCCGCUGGGGGACCCCAACAGGUCCAGUAA